AUAAAAGUCUGGUCCUUAUGAAUAAUAUGAAAGAGUUGUAUGUAGAAUGUUGAUUAACCAACUAUCCAGCUCCAUGUUCUGGGAGAUGAAUGCCUUUGAUAAGAUCUUAACCAACCCCACGAUAAAUGAGAUAAUCUAGGGCCUUUACUGCCAUUUAAAAAAACACUUUUGUGGGAUGGAACCUAAGUGUCCCAUAUCCUAUGAUUCACACUUGUUGAUAGGCAGGAAGACCGAGGCUUUGCAGAGUGUCUCAGAAGCAUAGAGGAAAAUUUUCCUGAAGUCCAUGGCCUUGAUCAUGCCUAUAUUUGAGGGUCAUUCGAUCAUGUCAUAAGAUUUCCCAAAAAUCAAUCUCAAUGAAGAGGGUGUUUAAAUCAAGGAAACAUUUGAGGGCAUUCCAUAACUUUUUACCCUUCAAGAAAUAUCACAGACAACCUUCCAUCCAAAGUCAACAAAAUUGAAACCCAUUUUUGAGAGUUGGUGGUGCCUCAUCCUAUAACUAACGACAACGUUAGGAAAUAUGGAGACAUCGUCGGGCGCCCCAAGAAGAGUUAUCUUUUAUUUUUAACAUAUUUCCCACCCUGAAAUUGGCUCAACCAGAGAUAGGGUCCAAUAGCUAGAAGACCAUCGCACAUCUUGCGAUGUCUAGUGUGCCUCAGUGGCCCUUGAAAAUAUGGAGGACCAAGUACUGUCCAUGCCCAUUCGUACUCAUAACCGCAUCAAAUCUCCAAGGUGAACAACCUAUUGUCAAUAGAAAAAUGUAGGUAAGGGAAGUCAGCAAAAGGAAUCUGUAACUUCAGGAAAAGGAUUGGCUAUGAGGGCUGGGCCUAGGGGUCUGCAUCCUCAACCCAUGGAUUUUUGACAGUCUUCACGUGGGACUGUCAUUGAUUAAUGCUACCUCCUUUUGAAUGGUAGAGAACCACCUAUCAUUCAUGAUCCAACACAUAGUAGUCAAGAAUCCCAUCCAUUGCUAAUUGUUGGGCUCUAAAGAUGUCCUAAAAACAACCUUAGUUUAACAUUAAUUCAUCAACCCGAGGAUUCGUCUUCUAUUUCAAGAAUAUCAGAAAAGUCUAUGCAGAUAGCUUGUAGAGGCUAAAAUCGUGCAUCAAAUCCGAGUUUAUCAACAAUCAAGUUCCUCACACAUUCAUUAAGUUUCUAAAGCUAAGAUCCUACUGAACAUGAUUGAAAUAUGAUCUAUAAUGUGUUAUAAAUUGAAGGCAUGAAUUAAAUUG
rfam:Picea glauca, whole genome shotgun sequence.